rnacentral:rRNA from 1 species
GAUGAACGCUAGCGGCAGGCCUAACACAUGCAAGUCGAGGGGUAACAGGGAGAAGCUUGCUUUUCCGCUGACGACCGGCGCACGGGUGCGUAACGCGUAUACAAUCUGCCUUAUACUGGGGUAUAGCCUUUAGAAAUGAAGAUUAAUCCCCCAUAGUCUCUUAGAGUGGCAUCAUUUUAGGAGUAAAGGUUACGGUAUAAGAUGAGUAUGCGUUCUAUUAGUUUGUUGGUGAGGUAACGGCUCACCAAGGCUACGAUAGAUAGGGGCCCUGAGAGGGGGAUCCCCCACACUGGUACUGAGACACGGACCAGACUCCUACGGGAGGCAGCAGUGAGGAAUAUUGGACAAUGGAGGCAACUCUGAUCCAGCCAUGCCGCGUGCAGGAUGACGGCCCUAUGGGUUGUAAACUGCUUUUAUAUAGGAAGAAACCUUUUCACGUGUGAGAAGCUGACGGUACUAUAAGAAUAAGGACCGGCUAACUCCGUG